UACAGAGGUCCCAAGCGUUGUUCGGAUUCACUGGGCGUAAAGGGUGCGUAGGCGGUCGGGUAAGUCUGAUGUGAAAUCUCGGGGCCUAACCCCGAAACUGCAUUGGAUACUAUUCGGCUUGAGGAAUGGAGGGGAGACUGGAAUGCUCGGUGUAGCAGUGAAAUGCGUAGAUAUCGAGCGGAACACCAGUGGCGAAGGCGAGUCUCUGGACAUUUCCUGACGCUGAGGCACGAAAGCCAGGGGAGCAAACGGG
rnacentral:rRNA from 1 species